GCCUGGGUGGCUCAAUCGGUUGAGCGUCCGACUUAGGCUCAGGACAUGAUCUUACUGUUCAUGAGUUCAAGCCCCGUGUCAGGCU
rnacentral:tRNA from 1 species